UACGUAGGGGGCAAGCGUUGUCCGGAAUUAUUGGGCGUAAAGAGCGUGUAGGCGGUCCGGUAAGUCGGCUGUGAAAGUCCAGGGCUCAACCCUGGGAUGCCGGUCGAUACGAGCAAACUAGAGUGUUGCAGGGGAGACUGGAAUUCCUGGUGUAGCGGUGAAAUGCGCAGAUAUCAGGAGGAACACCGGUGGCGAAGGCGGGUCUCUGGGCAACAACUGACGCUGAGGAGCGAAAGCGUGGGGAGCGAACAGG
rnacentral:rRNA from 1 species